rnacentral:rRNA from 1 species
UACGGGGGGAGCAAGCGUUGUUCGGAUUUACUGGGCGUAAAGGGCGCGUAGGCGGCCAGCACAAGUCAGUUGUGAAAUCUCCGAGCUUAACUCGGAAAGGUCAACUGAUACUGUGCGGCUAGAGUGCGGAAGGGGCAACUGGAAUUCUUGGUGUAGCGGUGAAAUGCGCAGAUAUCAGGAGGAACACCAAUAGCGAAGGCAGCUUGCUGGGACGGUACUGACGCUAAGGCACGAAAGCGUGGGGAGCGAACAGG